AAAAGUAUAGGUAAAAUUUUGCCGCCUUCACAAGUGUAUAAGUAAAUGAAUGACCCUCUCCCUGAAAAGUAGAAAAUAAACAAAGAGAUCAACAGUAGUUAAGAAAAAGUAUAAAAUAAUAAAAAGUAGUCUGGAAUGUCUAUUAGGAAUUCCAGACACAGAGAAAAAAAAUUAAAAGGCAAACGGAAUUCCUAAAAAAUAAGAAAAUUCCCCAGAACAAAACAAGAGUUUCCAUGAACUAAGAACCCACUGAGUGAUCAGCCUAGUCAAUUUUUUUAAGCCACACUAGGUGCAUCAUUGUAAAAAUUUCAGAACACUAGAGAUGAAGGAGGUCCUAAGACCUUCUGGAGAGAAGAAAACAGGUAAUAAUCAAAGAUUAGGACUUCUCAGCUGAAAUAUUGGAAUUGCUAGAAUACAGGGGACUGAUGCUUUCAAAAUUCUGAGGGAAAGUAAUGAUCAAACCUGGGGUUCUGUACCCAGGCCAACUAGUAAUUGAGUAUGAGAAUACGAAAAAGACAUGUUCUGGUCGGGUACACUGGCUCAUGCCCAUAAUCCCAGCACUUUGGGAGGUGGAGGCAGGCGGAUCACUUGAGGCCAGGAGUUUGAGACCAGCCUGGCCAAUAUGGCGAAACCCCAUCUCUACUAAAAAUGCAAAAUUAGCUGGGUGUGAUGGCGCAGGCCUGUAGUCCCAGCUACUCGGGAGGCUCAGGCAUGAGAAUUGCUUGAACUUGGGAAGCGGAGGUUGCAGUGAGCCGAGAUCGCACCACUGCACUCCAGCCUCGGUGACAGAGCGAAACUGUCUCAAAAAAAAAAAGACAUGUUCAGACAUGAAAAAUCACCAAAAAAUUAUAUACCCUUUUUCAGAAUUAUGGGGACACAGUAUCGAGAAAACAGAGAUCCAUUAUAGGAUGGCAAAGCAAAUAGCAAAGAAAAAUGGAUGCAAAGCAGAACUAGAGUGAUCAGUCCAGAUUGUACCAAGAAGACAAAGAGCUCCAAGAUUUAAAAACAGAAAAGAGAAACUGGAAAGGUUUGUGUGGAAAAUUAUAUUGUGAGGUUAGAGGAUGUGGAAAGAAUGAGAGAGAAACAUCAAGAAAACAAAGCAAAUGAAAAAAAGAGUGCAGUUAACUCCAGAAAGAAAAGUUAUAUGAGAAACAAUUAUAGCUCACUUACUUGGCUUAUCAACAAACUAUGUUUGCAUAGUUAAAACAGGGUAAAUAUUAAUUAUUGAUUCAUCAAAAAUAUGCAAUAGUUUUAUUGGUUAGUCAGUUGGAAAGGAGGAUCAAAUCCUCAUUAAUAAAUCCCAUACAUGAUUGAUAAAUUAAAGAUAUUAGUAAAAGCUUAUUAUUUAGAAAUGUGGACGUAAAUACCAAAAAAAAAAAAAAAAAAACCUAAUAGUUGAAAGCAAGGAGGGAUAAAGCAGGAACUGUUUUUUUGGUUACAAACUUUUGAUCAUUAUUUAAUUUUUUAAUGCAUUUGUUGCUUUGUUAAAAAUAUAAAAAUUAAUUUCAAAAAAGUCAUGCUGGCUAAUACUGUAGAAACCAAUUGGAGGGGACUCCAAGUAGAGACAAAGAGAGUAGGAAGUUGAGGCUACAUAAGCAAAGAGGAUGGAGGAUUUAAGUAAGGUAGUGGUAAAGGGAAUGGGAAGGUGGGAAUGGAGUGGAAUAUUUGCAGUAGAAAUGAUGGGACCUGGUGGCUGGAGGAAGGAGAAGGAACAAGAAGAGGGAGAAGUCUAGAAUGAUAGGUUCCUAAUUUGAGGAACUGAGUACUCUCUGAGAAAGAGAACGGAAGGAAGAGCAGCCUUGUGGGUGAUGACAGCAAUUUAAGUUAUGGACAAAGCUGAGGUGGCUAGAUAUCCAAGUGGCAAUGCUAGAUGGACAUGGAUCUUGAGUUCAGGAGAACGCUGGGCUGAAAUAAGAGAAUAAAUUAGAUCUAGCAAAGAAACCCAGCCAAGUCCCAAGGAAAGCUAACCCAAAUGUCCCCUUAAGCCCCACAAGUGUAUGAAUCCUGGGUAGACUGCCAGGUGAGAGUAGAAGUUCAGCUGUUUAUCCUCGGUGUGCUCUAUUAACAACUCUCACCUGCCAAGUGCCACAGCCCCUCAGCCCUUGCCCUUUGUUUCUCUGGAAGCCCUCAUGUUAGGAAAUGUCUUCCAAAACGUUCAUGCUACUGUUCCCAUUUCUCCCAUACUUCUGAUUCACUUGCUUCUCACCUUCCCCAUCUACUGUCGUACACUGCUUCUCAUUCAUCAGUUUGAUGCCAACCAAGAUGGUCCACUGGAAUACACAGCCAAUUGGCACGAAUCCAUGCUUGACCUGAUAUCCCUUGGGAAGCUGAGUCUCUGCUACCAGCAUCUGGAGCUGUUACUUGUGAUUUUGGAAUCCUUGUCACUAAGGCUGACUGCACCACAGCACUGCUCAGGCCACCCAUAAUGGUGGAACUGACACCAAUGAGAAAUCAAGAUGAGGGUCUGAAGGUCAUAGUACUGUAGAGGAACCCUGAAAUGCCCAAUUCCUGUCCUACCACACAUCACAUCUCUACUCACAGGGUCCCAACAGCUAUGAACAGGAAAACACUACCUAAAUGAGAAACAAAUGCCACUUUAUUCAUAACUGAGGCAGUACUCUAUAAUCCAUAGGCAGGGAUCUGAUAAAAACUGAACUGAGUCUCUCGCAAGGGUGGAAGCCAAAGACCAGGUUGAGGAGAGGCUGGUCAGACUUUGGCACUGCACAUGGGAGGUAGUAUCUUCUUGGGAUAUUUGUAUUACUCCAGAAAGGUGAGAAAAGCAGCUGGUGUGCAAUAAGAAAAGCAAGGCCAAGAGCCCAGGCAGGCUCAACAAGUGGCUGCCUGCAUUCUGGUCCCAGUGUCAGGCCUUCUGAAGACAACAUACUGCUUUUUUUUUUUUUUUUUGAGAUGGAAUCUCGCUGUCAACAGGCUGGAGUGCAGUGGUGCGAUCUCAGCUCACUGCAACCUCCGCCUCCCAGAUUCAAGCGAUUCUCCUGCCUCAGCCUCCCAAGUAGCUGGGACUACAGGUGCGCGGUGCCAUGCCCAGCUAAUUUUUGUAUUUUUAAUAGAGACAGGGUUUCACCAUGCUGGCCAAGACGGUCUCGAUCUCUUGACCUUGUGAUCCGCCCCUCGGCCUCCCAAAGUGCAGGGAGUACAGGCGUGAGCCACCGCUCCUGGCCCAUACUCUCUGCUUUAAUUCUGAGCUACCAAUACACGUUUUUUAUAAACACCCACUUUUGAUUUAAGCUCACUUGUGUUUGUUGCCUGCAACCAAGAGACCACUGAGGAAACUGGUUCAGCAUCAAUCAUGUCGUCCUGACUGCAUUCCCAGCAUUAGAAUAGCACUGGCCACAGUUGGUGGGUAAUCCACACUUGCUGAAGGAAUGAGGGGUAUGUGCACUGGUCCUAAAGAAUAGGUCCAGUCUGUUUAAUUCAGAAGUUACAAUCAAAUUUAUAUCAUACUUACCCAGUACGCAGUAGUACCCAAAGGGCUACUGUGAAUCCCAAAGUGAAUAUGGAGAUUUGCUGAAACUAACCUUAAAGCGACCACUAAAGCUGUGCCUAAUAGCAACAUGAAAGAAAUAUAAAUCUACAUUAACUAGUUUCAGGAAAUCAAGCUUAUGGAAGCUCUAUGUGAAAUUUCACAGCAAUCUUUCACUCAUGCAAAUACAGAGGAACACCUCUUGAAAAUGCAGAUAGUAGGCCGGGGACCGUGGCUCACACCUGUAAUCCCAGCACUUUGGGAGGCUGAGGCAGGCGGAUCACAAGGUCAGGAGAUGGAGACCAUCCUGGCUAACACGGUGAAACCCUGUCUCCACUGAAAACACAAAAAAUUAGCCAGACAUGGUGGCAGGCGCCUUUAGUCCCAGCUACUCGGGAGGCUGAGGCAGGAGAAUGGCAUGAACCUGGGAGGCGGAGCUUGCAGUGAGCCGAGAUCGAGCCACUGCACUCCAGCCUGGGUGACACAGCAAGACUCCGUCUCAAAAAAAAAAAAAAAAAAGAAAACGCAGAUAGUUUCCUUCAAGAAAAUAUUUAUUGCAUAUUAUUAGUGAUUAUGUUUUACAGCAAAUUUAAAUAC
rnacentral:lncRNA from 1 species